AGCAAACCCGUCAGCGCAGAAUCUAGAACCUUCAGACCCGCUAGCCACAUCAUCUCGUAGUAUAGUAUAGCCAAGUUUGCAGGUGACACGGCGUAGGUUUUGCUGACUUUCUCACCAAGUCACGACUUUGUUUUGCAGUCUUAAAGUUCAAUCUCCAGGAGAAGAUAAAUAUGGCGAUGAGAUCAGUCGUUUCAAGCAGUGGAGUCCGUCGUUUAAUGGAAGGUGGUGGGAGAUCAUCGGCUUCGGGCCUUCGCUACUUCACCGACGGCAAAGGUCGAAUCCUCAGUGAAGAAGAACGUGCUAAAGAGACCGUCUACAUUCAGAAAAUGGAAAGGGAGAGGAUGGAGAAGGCGAAGCGGAAGGCUGAAAAGGAGAAAGCUGAAAGAGAGAAAGCUGACAAGGAAAAUAUGAGUAGAAUUGAUCCUGCCAACCCCGGUUCAUCCGUUGGAGUCGAGACUCUGUAAUUCAUUUCAAUGAAUAGCUCUGUCCAGGUCUAAAACUGCUUGUUGACAACUCCUCAUGUGAUGCAAUAGCAAAGGGUUAGACUCUUAGUCUUGGUAUAUAAGUAAAUAGAUUUUCUUUUUCUCAAAGAAAUAAUAGAGUCAGAGUGAAAACGAUAUGUUACAGUAAGAAUUUCGAUUCCAGUGCUAAACUAUGUUUAAUAAGUUUGAUGCUGCAACUCAUCCGCAAUAUUCAGUUU